GAUACAAUUCCAUUUUAGCCAAGAGCAUUUCUAUGGUGUGGACUGGACACUGUGAUUUGUACCAUUGGUUUUCCACAGAAGGUUCUGCUGCAAACCUUGGAAGUUUUAAGUUUCAUCAUGUUCUUUCGUUUUUGCAUGUAAAUUAAAUAUAUGUCACUUCACUUCCUACCAAAUUUUCGUAAUCAAGUGACUGAUUUAUCAUUUUGUUGCACUUUCAGAUGUCUAUCUUUUAGGAA
rnacentral:misc_RNA from 1 species